rnacentral:rRNA from 1 species
CCCUAGAGGAGCCUGUUCCAUAAUCGAUAAACCCCGAUCCACCUCACCCUCUCUUGCUUAGCCUAUAUACCGGCAUCUUCAGCAAACCCUGAUAAAGGUUACAAAGUGAGCACAAACGCCCUGCCGCCGCAAAAACGUUAGGUCAAGGUGUAGCCCAUGAGAGGGGUAAAAAUGGGCUACAUUUUCUACAUCAGAAAACCCCACGAAAACUCUUAUGAAACCUAAGAGUCCAAGGAGGAUUUAGCAGUAAAUUAAGAAUAGAGUGCUUAAUUGAACCAGGCCAUAAAGCGGGUACACACCGCCCGUCACUCCCCUCAAAUGUAUUUAAAGGACAUCUUAACUAAACACCCUAAUAUUUACAUAGAGGGGAUAAGUCGUAACAUGGUAAGUGUACUGGAAGGUGCACUUGGAC